rnacentral:rRNA from 1 species
GGAGUAUGGGCCGUGUCUCAGUCCCAUUGUGGCUGAUCAUCCUCUCAAACCAGCUACUGAUCGUCGCCUUGGUAGUCCAUUACACCACCAACUAGCUAAUCAGAUGCAGACUCAUCCUUGAGCACCGGAGUUUUCAAGAAUACCAUUUCAGGUACGCUCAUAUGGGGUAUUAGCAGUCGUUUCCAACUGUUGUCCCCCUCUCAAGGGUAGAUUCUCUACACAUUACUCACCCGUCCGCCACUUUCCACUCACCGAAGUGAGCUUCUCGUUCGACUUGCAUGUAUGAAGCACGCCGCCAGCGUUCGUC